UCCUAGGACAGACAUGAACCAAGCUGUUGUUAAUGUGUUGUUAUAAUUUGUUUGUUUUGUUAAUGUUUUACUAUAAGAACAUAUUCCUGAGGGAAGAGUAAGUGAGAAAACCUAAACUGGGUGAGAUUUUUGGUAGAGGGAGCUCUGCAGAAGUCAGAGAUAAGACCCUGGAGUUAAGUCUUACAGCAAGUGUUCCAUAGGGUAUCAGUUAUUAGUUGUGAUUUACAGAUUAUUACUUACCCAUUAACCAAAUAAUGAAAGUCUUAGCAUGUUCCCAAGCACUCAUGGCUCCCAAAACUGAACCUUUAUUUAAAAAUUACAUUUAAUCUUUUUAACUUUAGGAAGAAACUACAUGACUGAAUACAGCGAUUGGUCUAUGUACAGCCAUAAGAAACACAUGGAAAAGUAAUUCUCCAUUAUAUCGCUUUAAGACUGCACUUGCUUUUGGAAUCUCUUUCCUUUCUCACACAAAGCUACAGGGCUAAAGAACCAAGGGCUACUGGAACAGUACUGAUAGAACAUUUCUGAUCAAAAUUGAUAUGCAGAAACAACUCUGACUAAUCAGAAGCAUGUAACCUGCUUCAAAAUGAGCAGAAUCAGUCACCCAACUGACAAUAAAAGACAAUGAACUGAUGACAAGCAAUGACGUUAUCUCUGUUGAUGGAUUUCAAUUACAAUGUACCACAUGAAAGCCUAAGAGGAAAAAGAGGCUUAGUCUUGCAUGCAGUGCCUGCAGCCACCUCCAGAGAGAGAUCUGUCAUACAGAAGAGAAGUCAUACCCUCUUAUGGCUAUGACAUAUACUAAGUGACAUUUAAAUUAAAUGACAUUUUAAAUGACAUUUUUUUAAUAUGAUACCUAUAGAAAAUGUGAGGCCUUUUCCUGCAAAUUCUCUUCGUAAAUCAGCUACAAAUUUCUCUCUUAUAUGUUCCUUCUGUUAAAAAAACAAAUGCACAACAAAACCAA